AGAGUUUGAUCCUGGCUCAGGACGAACGCUGGCGGCGUGCUUAACACAUGCAAGUCGAGCGAGGCCCUCCCUUCGGGGAGGUGUCCUAGCGGCGAACGGGUGAGUAACACGUGGGCAACCUGCCCUCAGCUCUGGGAUAACCCCGGGAAACCGGGGCUAAUACCGGAUACGACCUCGUCAGGCAUCUGUCGAGGUGGAAAGUUUUUCGGCUGAGGAUGGGCCCGCGGCCUAUCAGCUUGUUGGUGGGGUGACGGCCUACCAAGGCGACGACGGGUAGCCGGCCUGAGAGGGUGACCGGCCACACUGGGACUGAGACACGGCCCAGACUCCUACGGGAGGCAGCAGUGGGGAAUAUUGCGCAAUGGGCGAAAGCCUGACGCAGCGACGCCGCGUGAGGGACGAAGGCCUUCGGGUUGUAAACCUCUUUCAGCAGGGACGAAGCGAAAGUGACGGUACCUGCAGAAGAAGCACCGGCCAACUACGUG
rnacentral:rRNA from 1 species